ensembl:snRNA U6 U6 spliceosomal RNA
GUGCUCCUUGAGCAGCACAUAUACUAAAACUGGAAUGAUACAGAGAAGAAUAGCUUGGCCCCUGCACAAAGAUGACACGCAAAUUCAUGAAGCAUUCCAUCUUUUA